GCGCGCGCUCGGCUCCGCCCCCCGCCCCGGGCGGCGCCGCUUCUAGGCGGCGGGCUGUGGCCGCUGUCCGCGCUCCGGGCGCUGUGGGCCCGCCCUCCCUCGGCGUCCCAGAGGCCGCGCGCCGCCCGGGGUCCCGACCCUGCGGAGAGACCUGAAGGCGCCUGCCGUGGAAGAAGCCGCUGGCCGCAACGUUUGGGAAAUCAAAAUGUUGCCUUCCCACUCGGCACGCCUUUGGGAUAAAUCGAAGUUUCCAACCGUUGGAUUUCCCUCCCGGGAGGCUCCCCUUGCUCUGUAAGCAAUGAAUGCGGGCCCCGGGGCACUCGGCCUGCCCUGGACCUGCUCACGGGGCGACCUUCACGGGCCUAGCCUCCAAAGCUGGGCCCACCGACGACCACGUUCCCCCGCCCCAGGGGUAGUUUACCUUGCUGUCCUUGAGCCCUUCUCCCCCUCCUCAUGAACUACUGCUUUUCCUUUUACACAAAUGAGACUUUCAAAGGAGUCCGCGUCCCAUAAUGGCAGUUGUGCAUUGGCCUCCAUAAACAUUGCCACGUGUAAAUAAAAUCCUAUUCUCUCUAGCAUGCAGAUCCCGACCCCUUCUCCCCACACUCCACAGUGCCUCCUGCCAGUCACGGGGCUCUCUUCCAUCCCCUCCCUCGCCUCCCAGGCCCAGCGCCGGGGCCCACACCAGGUCUCACUGUUGAAUUAGAAAAUAAAAGUAAAAUGUGAUCUGUCCAUGCAAUGGAAUAUUAUUCGGCUACAAAAAGGAAUGGAGCACCGAUGCAUGCUGCAGUGUGGAGGAACCCGGGAAACGUUAUGCUAGUGAAAGAAGCCAAACAAAAAAGGCCACAUAGCGUAUGAUUCCAUCCAGAUGAAAUGUCUCGAAUUGGCAAAUCCGUAGAGGCGACACAGAUUGGAGGUUGCCAGGUGCUAGGGGAGGAAGAUAAGCAGCUUGGGGUUUCGUUUUAGGAUGAUGAAAAAGUCUAGAAAUGAUCCAACAGGAUGAAUCUACAUACUGCCCUUGAAUCAUACACUUUAAAGUGGUUUAGGCCGGGAGCGGUGGCUCACGCCUGUAAUCCCAGCACUUUGGGAGGCCGAGGUGGGCGGAUCACCUGAGGUCGGGAGUUCGAGACCAGCCUGACCAACACGGAGAAACCCCAUCUCUACUAAAAAUACAAAAAUUAGCCGGACGUGGUGGCACAUGCCUGUAAUCCCAGCUACUCGAGAGGCCGAGGCAGGAGAAUUGCUUGAACCCGGGAGGCGGAGGUUGUGGUGAGCUGAGUUCGCACCAUUACACUCCAGCCUGGGCAACAAGAGUGAAACUCCAUCUCAAAAAAUAAUAAUAAAAUAAAAUAAAGUGGUUUAAAUGGUAAAUGUUAUGUUGAGUGUAUUUUACCACAAUAAAGGAGGAA
rnacentral:lncRNA from 10 species